CUGCGGCUGCCAGUGGUUUGCUGUUUGCUUUGGCUAGAAAUCAAAGCGCGAGUGGAGGUUGGGAUUGGAUGGGGUAGAGUGGGAGGUGAUGUGGCUUGACGUGGGAUGGUAGAGGUGAUACAGCGUCUUGAGGUACACCGUGGCUUUGUCCCGCUAAACAGGAAGCCACAGUACACUGGUCCUCCCUCAGGAAAGGGAUCAGGUUUUCCUGGCCACCUCUGCCCUGUCAUCAACCCUACAUGCUCCUCCUGAUCCUGACAAGAUCUGCAUGUGUCACAAGCUACAACAUGUCCCCACCCCCUGCAAACCUUACCAUACCCCCCUCAAGUUUGUUUACUUUGGCACACAUGGCUGAAACCCUUGAAAACAGAUAUGACGGGCCGUUCUAAAUGUGACAAUAUCAACCGCCUCCUAAAAAUCAAUAAAGCUGCUGUUCACAGCCCAUAACCCAUUCACAACCCAUUAGCAGAUCAUGUUACAUGACAGUACCAUGAUUCUGUCGCGAGUGACAGUUACACUUUUGUUAUUGGCGAGCAGGCUAAUCACAUGUGAAGCAACUGAAAGCAAACAGGCUAUUAUAUGCCAGAAAGCCACACUGUUGCUCUUUUAUAUCCCACAGGAUCACCAGGAGAAUUUCUUACAGACUGCAAAUCACUUACACUCAGCUGGUAGUUUAUUAGGUACACCUAGCAUGUGCCAAUCAGGUGCUGAAUUUGUAUUUAUCAUCGGCACUGUUGUACAAAUAAAGUUAUCUCGGUUUGUAAUUUUUGCAGGCGCAAUUUCAUAUUCGAUGGACAAGGCCAUUUAUCACUGUCAGAUCCACGACUUACUUAAAGCCCCUUCAACCAAAAGAAAUUCCUGUUUUGACAGGCUUUCUGGAGGCAGGCACAGCUGAGGCUAGGACAAGCACUGUAGGGGGUCUUCUGGCUUACAAGGCUCUGACGUCCCCAGGCCCUCUCACAUUCAGGUGUAAAACCCUCCGGCCAGCACAGCCGGGCUAACAUAGCUUGGGACUUUCAGCGCCACACUGUCUGCUGCAGCCCCCGAGCCUCCCAAACUGCUACUAAAAUAGAAGCAACCUCACACCGAGACAUGGCUUCACAGCUAGCAUAUAAAAAUCUGAAUAUUCAAAGGAUUUGCAGCUCAUCCAUCAUUUUUUCAUACUGAAAAAACCUGAUUUGGCUUUUUUUUUUUUUGCAGUAACUCUACUGAUGAUUUGAGGCUUUAUUUUUUAAGUUGUGCGGUGAAUUAAGUAUACUGGGUGGGCAAACUCAAUCAUGGAUCAUUUAUAUUCUAAAUAACCAUAACCUCAGUGGUUAUUUCAAGUGCAAGAAUGAAACACUUGUUCUCUUUAUAAGUUUCAUACAGUAUGUGGAGGGAUCACACCUGGUGUCACAGUAGCAAAGUUAUUCCAAUAAGUUUUGUGGCUUUAUGUUGAAAAUGUUUUUUUAAAGAAGUCAAAUGUUCUUUUUUCACACAUUGUAAAACUGUUAUGUCAAGGUUUUCAAUAGGGUGCAGGUGAUGCCCUUUACCAGCCCAUUAUCCCAGAUGAUCAACAGAUGAUUCCCCAUACCAUUCACCUCUGCUUCCUGUUCAGCAGCACAGCGGAUAUCAAAACCACACAUGUUCCUUCAGUGCUCUAGAUUCCCUGUCUGGGAAUGGCCCCCUGAGGGUCAAACCUUGGCUUCUUCCUCCUCUUCCUGCUAUUUGCAGGUCAAAGGCGACGGCCUGCUGGAGAGGCGUUUCCCACUACAGCUCUACUGGAUUCACACUCAAACCUCCAUUAGGGAAGACAACUUUUGUUGUGCCUCAGAAAACACCAAGGGUCACGUCUGGUCUCUCUCCUGAGCCCCAGUGGAGGCUGCGUGGGCUUACUCCAAGACAUCUGGCAUGAUAGAGUUUACUCGUUCAGCUGCUGCAGCCUGGACAGAAACACCAGCUCUUACCUUACAAACCAGGUGUCACCACUUCGUCCAUGAUCACAGAGACGUCGUCCAUGAUCGCAGUCUUCAUACAAAGAAGUUCUUUGAAACCAGGACUGGGGCCUCAAGGAUUCAAACUUCAACCAUUAAAUGACAGAAGAGACAGACGGGAGACAUUUUGAGAAGGUCCUCAGCUGCUGUCGUCUUCUCCUGCAGAGACAAGAACACGUGUUAAUCACAGAAACUGAUCAGUAAAGCUAUUUUUCCUUGUUGAUACGUAAUUACAGUGAUGUAUACUAAACUUUUACAACUCAUUUAGUAUCACAUAUUUCAGUGUGUUUUUCUAAUUAUUACAGUCACAGUUACGACUAGAAAUUUUUCUAAAACUCUGAUAUAUAAUAAUUAUUUUUUAUGCCCUGCUAUUCUAAGACAGUUUCAUGCCUAAGACAAUUUUUACAGUUCUUGACGCCUUACUGUAAUACUACUCACUUAACAUACUAUGAUGAUUUUUGAGUGUUUGUGGUUUAAGUUAGAUUUUGUGUUUGUCAUUUAAUUUUGGUAUUUUGCAAUUUCAAAGCGUGGAAUAUCUUUACUCAAAUCCAAUCUAUUACUGUAUACAUAGUCCUGUGUAUAGUGUUCAUAUUGUUUAUAAUUUUUAUAUAUUGUUAUAUAUUAUGUUGUUUUAUAUCUUGCCUUGUUUAUAUCAUGCCUUGUUUAUAUCAUGCCUUUUUAUAUUUUUGCUGCUGUGACACUGAAUUUCCCCACUGUGGGAUUAACAAAAUAUUAUUAUACGCUGACUCAA